ACGGCUCAGUAACACGUGGAUAACCUGCCCUAAGGAAGGGGAUACCCUCGGGAAACUGAGGAUAAUACCCUAUAGGAUACCGAUGCUGGAAUGCCCGGUAUCCCAAAGCUCCGGCGCCUUAGGAUGGAUCUGCGGCCGAUUAGGUCGUUGUUGGGGUAACGGCCCAACAAGCCGAUAAUCGGUACGGGUUGUGGGAGCAAGAGCCCGGAGUUGGAUUCUGAGACACGAAUCCAGGCCCUACGGGGCGCAGCAGGCGCGAAAACUUUACAAUGCGGGCAACCGUGAUAAGGGAACCUCGAGUGCCUGUACAUGCAGGCUGUCUGGGUGUCUAAAACACACCCAAAGAAAGGGCCGGGCAAGACCGGUGCCAGCCGCCGCGGUAAUACCGGCGGCUCGAGUGGUGGCCACUUUUAUUGGGCUUAAAGCGUUCGUAGCUGGGUUGUUAAGUCUCUUGGGAAAUCUGGCAGCUUAACUGUCAGGCGUCUAAGAGAUACUGGCAAUCUAGGAACCGGGAGAGGUGAGGGGUACUUCGGGGGUAGGAGUGAAAUCCUGUAAUCCUCGAGGGACCACCUGUGGCGAAGGCGCCUCACCAGAACGGCUUCGACAGUGAGGGACGAAAGCUGGGGGAGCAAACCGGAUUAGAUACCCGGGUAGUCCCAGCCGUAAACGAUGCSCYUCUGCUUUCGAUGACCACGAGUCAUCGAGGUGCCGAAGGGAAACCGUGAAACGCCGCCSCCYKGGAA
rnacentral:rRNA from 1 species